AGAGUUUGAUCCUGGCUCAGAUUGAACGCUGGCGGCAUGCUUUACACAUGCAAGUCGAACGGCAGCGCGGGGGCAACCCUGGCGGCGAGUGGCGAACGGGUGAGUAAUGUAUCGGAACGUAUCCAGUAAUGGGGGAUAACCAGUCGAAAGAUUGGGUAAUACCGCAUACGCACGAGAGUGGAAAGUAGGGGAUCGCAAGACCUUACGUUAUUGGAGCGGCCGAUAUCUGAUUAGCUAGUUGGUGGGGUAAAGGCCUACCAAGGCGACGAUCAGUAGCAGGUCUGAGAGGAUGAUCUGCCACACUGGGACUGAGACACGGCCCAGACUCCUACGGGAGGCAGCAGUGGGGAAUUUUGGACAAUGGGCGAAAGCCUGAUCCAGCCAUGCCGCGUGCAGGAAGAAGGCCUUCGGGUUGUAAACUGCUUUAGUCUAGGAAAAAGGGGUGCACGGAUAAUACCCGUGUGCUUUGAUGGUACUGGAAGAAUAAGCACCGGCUAACUACGUGCCAGCAGCCGCGGUAAUACGUAGGGUGCGAGCGUUAAUCGGAAUUACUGGGCGUAAAGCGUGCGCAGGCGGUCCGUUAAAGACAGUCGUGAAAGCCCCGGGCUUAACCUGGGAACUGCGAUUGUGACUGGCGGGCUAGAGUGUGUCAGAGGGGGGUGGAAUUCCACGUGUAGCAGUGAAACGCGUAGAGAUGUGGAGGAACACCCGAUGGCGAAGGCAGCCCCCUGGGAUAACACUGACGCUCAUGCACGAAAGCGUGGGGAGCAAACAGGAUUAGAUACCCUGGUAGUCCACGCCCUAAACGAUGUCGACUGGUUGUUGGAAGGGUAACCUUUUAGUAACGAAGCUAACGCGUGAAGUCGACCGCCUGGGGAGUACGGUCGCAAGAUUAAAACUCAAAGGAAUUGACGGGGACCCGCACAAGCGGUGGAUGAUGUGGUUUAAUUCGAUGCAACGCGAAAAACCUUACCUACACUUGGCAUGUCAGAAAUCCUGCAGAGAUGUGGGAGUGCCGCAAGGAAUCUGAACACAGGUGCUGCAUGGCUGUCGUCAGCUCGUGUCGUGAGAUGUUGGGUUAAGUCCCGCAACGAGCGCAACCCUUGUCACUAGUUGCUACAUUUAGUUGGGCACUCUAGUGAGACUGCCGGUGACAAACCGGAGGAAGGUGGGGAUGACGUCAAGUCCUCAUGGCCCUUAUGUGUAGGGCUACACACGUCAUACAAUGGUCGGUACAGAGGGUUGCCAACCCGCGAGGGGGAGCUAAUCUCACAAAGCCGAUCGUAGUCCGGAUUGGAGUCUGCAACUCGACUCCAUGAAGUCGGAAUCGCUAGUAAUCGUGGAUCAGCAUGUCACGGUGAAUACGUUCCCGGGUCUUGUACACACCGCCCGUCACACCAUGGGAGUGGAAUCUGGCAGAAGUAGGUAGCCUAACCGCAAGGGGGGCGCUUACCACGCUGGGUUUCAUGACUGGGGUGAAGUCGUAACAAGGUAACC
rnacentral:rRNA from 1 species